rfam:Otolemur garnettii contig068828, whole genome shotgun sequence.
GUGCUCACUUCAGCAGCACAUGUACUAAAAUGGAGAUGAAGCAGGGAUUAGGAUGGCUCCUACAUAAGGAUGACACACAAAUUUGGGAAGCUUUCCAUACUUCC